rnacentral:rRNA from 1 species
GACUGAAGUCAUGGUGAACAGAAUUCACCUGAUCUCAUAGGAUUCUAGAAAAUAAACACUCCUAGGCCUGGUUAGUAUUCAAAUAGGAGACUAUAUGGGAAUCCCAGAUAAUAUAGAUA